rnacentral:piRNA from 1 species
UGGGCUUUGCUAUUACAGUCGGUCAGAGA